rnacentral:rRNA from 1 species
GUACGGGAGGCAGCAGUCGGGAAUUUUGCGCAAUGGGCGAAAGCCUGACGCAGCAACGCCGCGUGAGGGAUGAAGGCCUUCGGGUUGUAAACCUCUUUUCUCAGGGACGAUGAUGACGGUACCUGAGGAAGAAGCCACGGCUAACUACGUGCCAGCAGCCGCGGUAAUACGUAGGUGGCGAGCGUUGUCCGGAUUUACUGGGCGUAAAGAGCGCGCAGGCGGUCGUACGAGUCGCGUGUGAAAGCCCCCGGCUCAACUGGGGAGGGUCACGCGAUACUGUUCGACUCGAAGGCAGGAGAGGGAAGCGGAAUUCCCGGUGUAGUGGUGAAAUGCGUAGAUAUCGGGAGGAACACCAGUGGCGAAGGCGGCUUCCUGGCCUGUUCUUGACGCUGAGGCGCGAAAGCUAGGGUAGCAAACGGGAUUAGAAACCCUUGUAGUCCG